rnacentral:rRNA from 1 species
AUUGAACGCUGGCGGCAUGCCUUACACAUGCAAGUCGAACGGCAGCAUGAUCUAGCUUGCUAGAUUGAUGGCGAGUGGCGAACGGGUGAGUAAUACAUCGGAACGUGCCCUGUAGUGGGGGAUAACUAGUCGAAAGAUUAGCUAAUACCGCAUACGACCUGAGGGUGAAAGUGGGGGACCGCAAGGCCUCAUGCUAUAGGAGCGGCCGAUGUCUGAUUAGCUAGUUGGUGAGGUAAAGGCUCACCAAGGUGACGAUCAGUAGCUGGUCUGAGAGGACGAUCAGCCACACUGGGACUGAGACACGGCCCAGACUCCUACGGGAGGCAGCAGUGGGGAAUUUUGGACAAAGGGCGAAAGCCUGAUCCAGCAAUGCCGCGUGUGUGAAGAAGGCCUUCGGGUUGUAAAGCACUUUUGUCCGGAAAGAAAUGGCUCUGGUUAAUACCUGGGGUCGAUGACGGUACCGGAAGAAUAAGGACCGGCUAACUACGUG